rnacentral:lncRNA from 1 species
GGUUUUAGUAGAUCAAAUGAAAAUAUUGGAAACAAUGACGCCAUUGGAUUUUAUGGAUUUUAGAAAUGUUCUAGAAACGUCCUCUGGGUUCCAAAGUUGGCAAUUCAGAAUAAUUGAGAAUAAACUGGGUGUCAAAAAGGUUAACCGCAUUAAGCAUAAUAAAGCAGAUUACAG